rnacentral:rRNA from 1 species
GAUGAACGCUGGCGGCGUGCCUAAUACAUGCAAGUCGAGCGAACGGACGAGAAGCUUGCUUCUCUGAUGUUAGCGGCGGACGGGUGAGUAACACGUGGAUAACCUACCUAUAAGACUGGGAUAACUUCGGGAAACCGUAGCUAAUACCGGAUAAUAUUUUGAACCGCAUGGUUCAAAAGUGAAAGACGGUCUUGCUGUCACUUAUAGAUGGAUCCGCGCUGCAUUAGCUAGUUGGUAAGGUAACGGCUUACCAAGGCAACGAUGCAUAGCCGACCUGAGAGGGUGAUCGGCCACACUGGAACUGAGACACGGUCCAGACUCCUACGGGAGGCAGCAGUAGGGAAUCUUCCGCAAAGGGCGAAAGCCUGACGGAGCAACGCCGCGUGAGUGAUGAAGGUCUUCGGAUCGUAAAACGCUGUUAUUAGGGAAGAACAUAUGUGUAAGUAACUGUGCACAUCUUGACGGUACCUAAUCAGAAAGCCACGGCUAACUACGUG